UACGUAGGGUGCAAGCGUUAAUCGGAAUUACUGGGCGUAAAGCGUGCGCAGGCGGUUAUGUAAGACAGAUGUGAAAUGCCCGGGCUUAACCUGGGAACUGCAUUUGUGACUGCAUGGCUAGAGUGUGUCAGAGGGGGGUAGAAUUCCACGUGUAGCAGUGAAAUGCGUAGAGAUGUGGAGGAAUACCGAUGGCGAAGGCAGCCCCCCUGGGAUAACACUGACGCUCAUGGCACGAAAAGCGUGGGGAGCAAACAGGA
rnacentral:rRNA from 1 species